rnacentral:rRNA from 1 species
AGGAUGAACGCUGGCGGCGCGCCUAACACAUGCAAGUCGAACGAGAAAGGAAGAGCUUGCUCUUCUAAUCGAGUGGCGAACGGGUGAGUAACGCGUGAGGAACCUGCCUCAAAGAGGGGGACAACAGUUGGAAACGACUGCUAAUACCGCAUAAGCGCACGGUAUCGCAUGAUACAGUGUGAAAAACUCCGGUGGUAUAAGAUGGACCCGCGUCUGAUUAGCUUGUUGGUGAGGUAACGGCCUACCAAGUCGACGAUCCAUAGCCGGACUGAGAGGUUGAACGGCCACAUUGGGACUGAGACACGGCCCAGACUCCUACGGGAGGCAGCAGUGGGGAAUAUUGCACAAUGGGGGAAACCCUGAUGCAGCAACGCCGCGUGAAGGAAGACGGUUUUCGGAUUGUAAACUUCUGUUCUUAGUGAAGAAUAAUGACGGUAGCUAAGGAGCAAGCCACGGCUAACUACGUG